GAUUACCCGCUGAACCUAAGCAUAUUACUAAGCGGAGGAAAAGAAACUAACCAGGAUUCCCUCAGUAACGGCGAGUGAAGAGGGAAGAGCCCAGCGCCGAAUCCCCGUCCGUCCGGCGGGCGCGGGAAAUGUGGCGUACGGAAGACCGCUUCUCUCGGCGACGAUCGGGGGCCUGAGUCCUUCUGAUCGAGGCUCAGCCCGUGGAUGGUGUGAGGCCGGUAACGGCCCCCGUCGCGCCGGGGUGCGGUCUUCUCGGAGUCGGGGUGUUUGUGAAUGCAGC
rnacentral:rRNA from 1 species